ACAAGGAGGACAAAAGAGGAAGCUACAAGUGAAGAGAAACAUUCUUACACAGGUACAACAACGUUUUAUUUCUCUAUUUAGUAGUUAGCUCAUUUCAUUCUUGCAAUUAUUGCUCAUACUCUAUUUAUAGGAAUCUGGUACAACAAGUGUUGGACAUAGGAAGCAACGCACUCAAACUACCGUGCUUGAAACACUCCUUCUUCAAGUAUGUUAUUCUUUCUUAACAUCUCAUUUCCCUGAAAUGUGUCGCAUUGAUGUUUGAUGCUUCUUUGGUUGUAAGCAGGCUCAAGCAUCGCAGCAAUCCCAUGUGUCACCAGGCCCUAUUCCAGAAUGUGCCUUCAUUGCUCGCAAUAGAGAUGCUUUGCAGCCCACUACAGCUACCACAUCCACUAUUGGCUUAAAGAAGAAGCAAAAGAAGAGGGUUACAAAGGCCAGUAUCACUGAAUAUAAGUGAA
rnacentral:lncRNA from 1 species